rfam:Picea glauca, whole genome shotgun sequence.
AUGAAAUAUAAUUCAUAUAGUGCUAAUGCAGUGGAUCCCAUUAGAACUGCACAGUUAAGUGUGAUUGGGCUAGAGUAUUACUGGGAUGGGUGACUUCUUGGUAAUUCCUAGAGUUUUACAUG